UACGGAGGGGGCUAGCGUUGUUCGGAAUUACUGGGCGUAAAGCGCGCGUAGGCGGCUUUGUAAGUUAGAGGUGAAAGCCCGGAGCUCAACUCCGGAACUGCCUUUAAGACUGCAUCGCUAGAAUUGUGGAGAGGUGAGUGGAAUUCCGAGUGUAGAGGUGAAAUUCGUAGAUAUUCGGAAGAACACCAGUGGCGAAGGCGACUGACUGGACAAGUAUUGACGCUGAGGUGCGAAAGCGUGGGGAGCAAACAGG
rnacentral:rRNA from 1 species